rnacentral:ncRNA from 1 species
AGGUUAAGGACUUUAGGUCUGGAGCCGCAGGGAAACCGAGUCUUAAACGGGCGUUUAGUUGCAUGGCGUAGACCCGAAACCGGGUGACCUACCCAUGGGCAGGGUGAAGCGGAAGUAAAAUUCCGUGGAGGCCCGAACCGUUUGGUGUUAAAAAACCAUCGGAUGACUUGUGGGUAGCGGUGAAAUUCCAAUCGAACUCGGAUAUAGCUGGUUCUCCCCGAAAUAGCUUUAGGGCUAGCCUCAAGUUAGUGAUGUGGGGGUAGAGCACUGAAUGG